rnacentral:rRNA from 1 species
UACGUAGGUGGCAAGCGUUAUCCGGAAUUAUUGGGCGUAAAGAGCGCGCAGGUGGUUGAUUAAGUCUGAUGUGAAAGCCCACGGCUUAACCGUGGAGGGUCAUUGGAAACUGGUCGACUUGAGUGCAGAAGAGGGAAGUGGAAUUCCAUGUGUAGCGGUGAAAUGCGUAGAGAUAUGGAGGAACACCAGUGGCGAAGGCGGCUUCCUGGUCUGUAACUGACACUGAGGCGCGAAAGCGUGGGGAGCAAACAGGAUUAGAUACCCUGGUAGUCCACGCCGUAAACGAUGAGUGCUAAGUGUUGGGGGUCGAACCUCAGUGCUGAAGUUAACGCAUUAAGCACUCCGCCUGGGGAGUACGGUCGCAAGACUGAA